rnacentral:rRNA from 1 species
UACGUAGGGUGCGAGCGUUAAUCGGAAUUACUGGGCGUAAAGCGUGCGCAGGCGGUUCGUUGUGUCUGAUGUGAAAGCCCCGGGCUCAACUUGGGAACGGCAUUGGAAACUGGCGAGCUAGAGUGUGGCAGAGGGGGGUGGAAUUCCGCGUGUAGCAGUGAAAUGCGUAGAGAUGCGGAGGAACACCGAUGGCGAAGGCGGCCCCCUGGGCUGACACUGACGCUCAGGCACGAAAGCGUGGGGAGCAAACAGG